rnacentral:misc_RNA from 1 species
UACAGAGGUCCCAAGCGUUGUUCGGAUUCAUUGGGCGUAAAGGGUGCGUAGGCGGCGUCGUAAGUCGAAUGUGAAAUCCCGGAGCUUAACUUCGGAACUGCAUUCGAUACUGCGGCGCUCGAGGACUGUAGAGGAGAAUGGAAUUCACGGUGUAGCAGUGAAAUGCGUAGAUAUCGUGAGGAAGACCAGUGGCGAAGGCGAUUCUCUGGGCAGUUCCUGACGCUGAGGCACGAAGGCCAGGGUAGCGAACGGG